rnacentral:rRNA from 1 species
AGAUGCCUACAACAUAGCGUUAAUGCAUUGGAUCCUAUUAGAACUCUGUAGUUAAGCAAGCUCAAGCUAGAGUAGUACUGGGAUGAGUGACCACCCGGGAAGUCCUACUAUUUUACAUGCC